UAGAUAUCGGGAGGAACACCAGUGGCGAAGGCGGCCUACUGGGCACCAACUGACGCUGAGGCUCGAAAGUGUGGGUAGCAAACAGGAUUAGAUACCCUGGUAGUCCACACCGUAAACGAUGAUUACUAGGUGUUGGAGGAUUGACCCCUUCAGUGCCGCAGUUAACACAAUAAGUAAUCCACCUGGGGAGUACGACCGCAAGGUUGAAACUCAAAGGAAUUGACGGGGGCCCGCACAAGCAGUGGAGUAUGUGGUUUAAUUCGACGCAACGCGAAGAACCUUACCAAGUCUUGACAUCCUGCGACGAUGCUGGAAACAGUAUUUUCCUUCGGGACGCAGAGACAGGUGGUGCAUGGUUGUCGUCAGCUCGUGUCGUGAGAUGUUGGGUUAAGUCCCGCAACGAGCGCAACCCUUACUGUCAGUUACUACGCAAGAGGACUCUGGCAGGACUGCCGUUGACAAAACGGAGGAAGGUGGGGAUGACGUCAAAUCAUCAUGCCCUUUAUGACUUGGGCUACACACGUACUACAAUGGCGUUAAACAAAGAGAAGCAAGACCGCGAGGUGGAGCAAAACUCAGAAACAACGUCCCAGUUCGGACUGCAGGCUGCAACUCGCCUGCACGAAGUCGGAAUUGCUAGUAAUCGUGGAUCAGCAUGCCACGGUGAAUACGUUCCCGGGCCUUGUACACACCGCCCGUCACACCAUGAGAGCCGGGGGGACCCGAAGUCGGUAGUCUAACCGCAAGGAGGACGCCGCCGAAGGUAAAACUGGUGAUUGGGGUGAAGUCGUAACAAGGUAGCCGUAGGAGAACCUGCGGCUG
rnacentral:rRNA from 1 species